AACCGGGGGAACUGAAACAUCUAAGUACCCCGAGGAAAAGAAAUCAACCGAGAUUCCCCCAGUAGCGGCGAGCGAACGGGGAGCAGCCCAGAGCCUGAAUCAGUGUGUGUGUUAGUGGAAGCGUCUGGAAAGGCGUGCGAUACAGGGUGACAGCCCCGUACACAAAAAUGCACAUAUUGUGAGCUCGAUGAGUAGGGCGGGACACGUGGUAUCCUGUCUGAAUAUGGGGGGACCAUCCUCCAAGGCUAAAUACUCCUGACUGACCGAUAGUGAACCAGUACCGUGAGGGAAAGGCGAAAAGAACCCCGGCGAGGGGAGUGAAAAAGAACCUGAAACCGUGUACGUACAAGCAGUGGGAGCACGCUUAGGCGUGUGACUGCGUACCUUUUGUAUAAUGGGUCAGCGACUUAUAUUCUGUAGCAAGGUUAACCGAAUAGGGGAGCCGAAGGGAAACCGAGUCUUAACUGUGCGUUAAGUUGCAGGGUAUAGACCCGAAACCCGGUGAUCUAGCCAUGGGCAGGUUGAAGGUUGGGUAACACUAACUGGAGGACCGAACCGACUAAUGUUGAAAAAUUAGCGGAUGACUUGUGGCUGGGGGUGAAAGGCCAAUCAAACCGGGAGAUAGCUGGUUCUCCCCGAAAGCUAUUUAGGUAGCGCCUCGUGAAUUCAUCUCCGGGGGUAGAGCACUGUUUCGGCAAGGGGGUCAUCCCGACUUACCAACCCGAUGCAAACUGCGAAUACCGGAGAAUGUUAUCACGGGAGACACACGGCGGGUGCUAACGUCCGUCGUGAAGAGGGAAACAACCCAGACCGCCAGCUAAGGUCCCAAAGUCAUGGUUAAGUGGGAAACGAUGUGGGAAGGCCCAGACAGCCAGGAUGUUGGCUUAGAAGCAGCCAUCAUUUAAAGAAAGCGUAAUAGCUCACUGGUCGAGUCGGCCUGCGCGGAAGAUGUAACGGGGCUAAACCAUGCACCGAAGCUGCGGCAGCGACGCUGAUGCGUUGUUGGGUAGGGGAGCGUUCUGUAAGCCUGUGAAGGUGUGCUGUGAGGUAUGCUGGAGGUAUCAGAAGUGCGAAUGCUGACAUAAGUAACGAUAAAGCGGGUGAAAAGCCCGCUCGCCGGAAGACCAAGGGUUCCUGUCCAACGUUAAUCGGGGCAGGGUGAGUCGACCCCUAAGGCGAGGCCGAAAGGCGUAGUCGAUGGGAAACAGGUUAAUAUUCCUGUACUUGGUGUUACUGCGAAGGGGGGACGGAGAAGGCUAUGUUGGCCGGGCGACGGUUGUCCCGGUUUAAGCGUGUAGGCUGGUUUUCCAGGCAAAUCCGGAAAACUAAGGCUGAGGCGUGAUGACGAGGCACUACGGUGCUGAAGCAACAAAUGCCCUGCUUCCAGGAAAAGCCUCUAAGCAUCAGGUAACAUCAAAUCGUACCCCAAACCGACACAGGUGGUCAGGUAGAGAAUACCAAGGCGCUUGAGAGAACUCGGGUGAAGGAACUAGGCAAAAUGGUGCCGUAACUUCGGGAGAAGGCACGCUGAUAUGUAGGUGAAGUCCCUCGCGGAUGGAGCUGAAAUCAGUCGAAGAUACCAGCUGGCUGCAACUGUUUAUUAAAAACACAGCACUGUGCAAACACGAAAGUGGACGUAUACGGUGUGACGCCUGCCCGGUGCCGGAAGGUUAAUUGAUGGGGUCAGCGCAAGCGAAGCUCUUGAUCGAAGCCCCGGUAAACGGCGGCCGUAACUAUAACGGUCCUAAGGUAGCGAAAUUCCUUGUCGGGUAAGUUCCGACCUGCACGAAUGGCGUAAUGAUGGCCAGGCUGUCUCCACCCGAGACUCAGUGAAAUUGAACUCGCUGUGAAGAUGCAGUGUACCCGCGGCAAGACGGAAAGACCCCGUGAACCUUUACUAUAGCUUGACACUGAACAUUGAGCCUUGAUGUGUAGGAUAGGUGGGAGGCUUUGAAGUGUGGACGCCAGUCUGCAUGGAGCCGACCUUGAAAUACCACCCUUUAAUGUUUGAUGUUCUAACGUUGACCCGUAAUCCGGGUUGCGGACAGUGUCUGGUGGGUAGUUUGACUGGGGCGGUCUCCUCCUAAAGAGUAACGGAGGAGCACGAAGGUUGGCUAAUCCUGGUCGGACAUCAGGAGGUUAGUGCAAUGGCAUAAGCCAGCUUGACUGCGAGCGUGACGGCGCGAGCAGGUGCGAAAGCAGGUCAUAGUGAUCCGGUGGUUCUGAAUGGAAGGGCCAUCGCUCAACGGAUAAAAGGUACUCCGGGGAUAACAGGCUGAUACCGCCCAAGAGUUCAUAUCGACGGCGGUGUUUGGCACCUCGAUGUCGGCUCAUCACAUCCUGGGGCUGAAGUAGGUCCCAAGGGUAUGGCUGUUCGCCAUUUAAAGUGGUACGCGAGCUGGGUUUAGAACGUCGUGAGACAGUUCGGUCCCUAUCUGCCGUGGGCGCUGGAGAACUGAGGGGGGCUGCUCCUAGUACGAGAGGACCGGAGUGGACGCAUCACUGGUGUUCGGGUUGUCAUGCCAAUGGCACUGCCCGGUAGCUAAAUGCGGAAGAGAUAAGUGCUGAAAGCAUCUAAGCACGAAACUUGCCCCGAGAUGAGUUCUCCCUGACUCCUUGAGAGUCCUGAAGGAACGUUGAAGACGACGACGUUGAUAGGCCGGGUGUGUAAGCGCAGCGAUGCGUUGAGCUAACCGGUACUAAUGAACCGUGAGGCUUAACCUUACAACGCCGAAGGUGUUU
rnacentral:rRNA from 1 species